UGGGGAAUAUUGCACAAUGGGCGCAAGCCUGAUGCAGCCAUGCCGCGUGUAUGAAGAAGGCCUUCGGGUUGUAAAGUACUUUCAGCGGGGAGGAAGGGAGUAAAGUUAAUACCUUUGCUCAUUGACGUUACCCGCAGAAGAAGCACCGGCUAACUCCGUGCCAGCAGCCGCGGUAAUACGGAGGGUGCAAGCGUUAAUCGGAAUUACUGGGCGUAAAGCGCACGCAGGCGGUUGAUUGAGUCAGAUGUGAAAUCCCCGGGCUUAACCCGGGAAUUGCAUCUGAUACUGGUCAGCUAGAGUCUUGUAGAGGUGGGUAGAAUUCCAUGUGUAGCGGUGAAAUGCGUAGAGAUGUGGAGGAAUACCGGUGGCGAAGGCGGCACCCUGGACAAAGACUGACACUCAGAUGCGAAAGCGUGGGGAGCAAACAGG
rnacentral:rRNA from 1 species